rnacentral:rRNA from 1 species
AACGAACGCUGGCGGCGUGCCUAACACAUGCAAGUCGAGGGAGAAAAGGGGCUUCGGCUCCCGAGUAAACCGGCGCACGGGUGAGUAACACGUAGGUAACGUACCUUGGAGUCCGGGAUAACCAGUCGAAAGAUUGGCUAAUACCGGAUACGACUGCAGCAGCUCUGGCUGCAGCAGUGAAAGAUGGCCUCUGUUUACAAGCUAUCACUCCUGGAUCGGCCUGCGCACCAUUAGCUAGUUGGUGAGGUAAUGGCUCACCAAGGCUGAGAUGGUUAGCUGGUCUGAGAGGAUGGCCAGCCACACUGGGACUGAGACACGGCCCAGACUCCUACGGGAGCAGCAGUGGGAAUAUUGCGCAAUGGGCGAAAGCCUGACGCAGCGACGCCGC